rnacentral:rRNA from 1 species
UCGGGAAUUUUGGGCAAUGGGGGAAACCCUGACCCAGCAACGCCGCGUGAAGGAUGAAGUAUUUCGGUAUGUAAACUUCGAAAGAAUAGGAAGAAUAAAUGACGGUACUAUUUUAUAAGGUCCGGCUAACUACGUGCCAGCAGCCGCGGUAAUACGUAGGGACCAAGCGUUGUUCGGAUUUACUGGGCGUAAAGGGCGCGUAGGCGGCAUGACAAGUCACUUGUGAAAUCUCUGGGCUUAACCCAGAACGGCCAAGUGAUACUGUCGCGCUAGAGUGCAGAAGGGGCAAUCGGAAUUCUUGGUGUAGCGGUGAAAUGCGUAGAUAUCAAGAGGAACACCUGAGGUGAAGACGGGUUGCUGGGCUGACACUGACGCUGAGGCGCGAAAGCCAGGGGAGCAAACGGGGAUUAGAUACCCCAGUAGUCCCUGAGCGGGCUGGCAAGGCGCAU